AGGAAUAGAAAACAUGGUUUAUAUUUUCAACAUUUGGAGAAAGAAAUGAAAACUGAAUAUUUGCUGCACCUGUGAAAACAUAUUUGAUCAUGAUGGCAAGUCCAGCAUUCUUAGUGCAGGAUUCAUAUUUCAUAACUUGUGUUCAAACAAGAAAAAUGAUUAUAAUGUUAAGUAUUUCCUGAGUUUAUUUUGAUGGAUGACAGAAUAAGUACUGUAUCUUUCACUCAUUAAAAUACAGAUUGGUGUAAUUUAAUAAAUGAACUUAAUACACAGAUGUUCCAGGCUGUUUUAGCAGGGUGUAUAUUAAUCAACUUCUUUAUAUAUGAUCCUCUUUUAUAUUUUUUAAAGAAACUUGCAGGAGCCAAGAAUUUAUUAGAUUUGCAUGCUGUGGGCCGAAUAUCAGAUGUCAAGUACACACAGGAGUGCAUUACGAUGAAAUGGAGCCAGCGUCUGCAGAGCGGCCAGGCCCCGAGAGGGCUGUCCCUGGGCUGGCACCUCGCUCUCAGGGCCAACUCAGAGCCCCAGUCCCGUGCAGGUUUAGGACCCUGCUGAGCUUGCUGCUGCCAUUGUUGAGACACUCAGAGGUGCCUCUGAAGCCUGGGUGGGAGCUGGUGGCCUUGGGUACUCCGAGGCCCUGACCGGGCAGUGGCUCUGCCCCGAAGAGGGGGCGUCUCCAGGACACAUCACAUGCUCCUGGGCUUCCCUCAGAGCCUCUUAGCCCAGUUACACAUUCCCUUCGCUUCCCUCCACUCCUCUCUAGCAUAUUGGAGGCUGAUGCUUUGUUCUGUCCGAACUUGUUUCAUGCGAAGGCCUUGCUAACAAGACCACAAACCCCUAAAGAACACGUUAUUUGCCUCUCAGAGCACCUUGCCUACUCCUCGUGGUUCCAGAAAUGUGGUUACAUCCUGAAUGCUGUGGACCAGGAUGUCCACAGGCUCGUCUUUUCCUGCUGCCCAGCUAGAGAGUUUGCAAGGCAACUUGAGUGGCAGUUGUGGGUCCAGAUGCUGCCCAGAACAAGGCACUGGUGCCCCUCAGUGGCCCCCAAGGAUGGGUGCUCUCUGGUUGCAGUUUGAGCUGGCCCAUCGCCCUGCAGCCCCUCUGCAUCCCUUGCUGGCUCAUCAAUCACACAGGCAGGUCCUGCAGGUGGGUAGUGGCUCUGCUGUCACAUGCCUGUUUGCAAUAAGCUCUGGCCGUAAUCAUUAAUCAUUCACUGAGGCUGUGGUUAGUGGCCCUCAGUCAAGAGGAUGGUUUCACAUUUUCCGGACUAAGUGGCUCUCUCGAAAGCAUCCUCCCUGCUCUUUCAUGUCCAGUCAUUUGAUGUUCUGUGUAUGCCGAGCUGGCCACCAAAGCCAAGCUUUGUUCUGGAGGGCUGCUCUGAAUGCUGCCUUUGGGCAGGCGCAGGAGCAUUCCGGAUCCAGCCUCAGGCCUGCACGGGAGACAGAGGGCUGGGGGUGUGAGCCCCUCCCCAGGACAUCCUGAGUGUGCCGUGCUCUGCCACACCAUGCAGAUCUGAGAGGACCAAAGAGUGGCUCUGCCCUUCGUAUCCUGUUUACGAACAGUGCUCAUGCAAAACAGGUGCCAGCGAGGCUAUUUAUCUGGGUGAAAAGGACUGAAGGAGCCUUCUGUCUGUGGGUUGUUCAUGAAACUAGAGGCUUGGCUUUGGUGAUGGAGGAGACAACCAGGGAUCGUAGCAACAGGGGCCACAGGUGAGGGCAGCUCUGGGUGUGCAGGGUGCUGAUCAUAGCUAGAAUGUACUCUGCUCAUCCCUCCAGAUCCCGCUCAGAUGCCAGCUCCCUUGCAGCCUUCUCAGGCUGCUGGAGGCUGCAUGAAUGACUCUUCCCUCUGGACCCCCCCACUGGAGAGUUUUUGAUGACUGUGUUCACUACCUCUCUGGGGCUUGUUUUCUUGCAGGGUUGGGAGGAAGACCUGAGACUUGCUUCUGCUAUUCACUGUGACCCCUUCAGCGUCCCCUCUGUAAGAAGGGAAAACACUGCAAAGUUUUGAGUGAGAAUACAUAGAAUAAGUGAAAUGAUGCAUGUAACAUACCUGUUACAAAGACUGGCAUGGAGUAGAUGCUCAGGCAAGGUUGGGCUCUGUUCUGCCUACCACAUUCUGCCUACCUCAUUGUCUGCUGUGUACAGGUGAGUCUGCAGCCACGAAAGCAGGAGGUGGAAUCCUUGCUUCUGGUCCUCUGUCUAGCACAGUGACUGGCCUGGAGCAUGGGCUCCUACCCCUGGGACUGCCUUCCAACCUGCCUACCAACACCUCGCCAAGGAGAAGGGGCAGAUCAGGGCAGGGCGAGUGGGGGAUACGGGAGUCAGGUUUGCUUGUUUGUUUUCCUUUUGAAGGCUCUGAUGAAGCCAGAAACUUCCUGAAGUCAGGCAAUUCUCCUAUCCCCUGAGAAGGAUUUGAGUAUAAUAUCCUCUUGCUGGAAGGAAAAUUAGAGAUAAUUAGUCUAGUGCUUUCAAAUUUGUGAGCGGGAACCAGAUGCUUUCUGGAAUCACUGGUACAACAAGGAAAUUUCCAUCAAGAUCUCCCCACCUCACCGAGAGGAUUCUUCCCUGGUGAUAGAAAAUUGAAAGAGAUUUAGCCAGCAGGGCCUACACAGUAAUGCUGGCUUUGUGCUUGUUCCUCUGUCAGAAGAGCAGAAAGUGAAGCCGGUAAUUUGUGUUAACUAAGCACUUUCAUUAUAGGAACUCCAGGGAAAGGGUGGGGAUCAGAACAUUUUUUCAUACAGCUGUCCCGAAUCCUGAGGAUGAUUUGUGUUGUUAGGGAGAAAUACUAAUAAUGCGGAGCGUAUGGAAAAGUUUAAGGCAGAGUCAGGGCCCUCUUCCAAGUGCUCAGGCUGCAUAUCCAGUGCUGUGCAGUUUCCCUUCUCAGUCCCCUGCUUUUCCUGGCUGGGCCCAUGCACACCAUGUCCCUUGAAGGCUGCAGAAGUGACCUCCACGGAUCCUUGGCUCCAGUUUGGCCACUCUCAAGGGGGCCAUGGCCUGGGAAAGAAUGCCACAGAAGACACCACAUGCCCACCCAAGAGGGCAAGGCGAGACCACCCCUCAGCAUUUGGUUGCCCAGACACGGCUGCUAGAGGCUUUGACUCACACUCUGGACUGCGAGCUCUGCCUGGCAGGGUGGCACUCACUUCCAGACGACAUUUCCAGGGUGACCCUUCCUGUCUCAGGGCACCCUGUGUGGGGCUGUUCUUCCCUGCAGGGGGAGCAGCCUAUGGUUCCCAUCAGGCCUGCCCAGCCU